CUUUAUGUACACUCUGAUGGUUAACGUUAAAACUUUAUUUAAAUUGUGAUGGUUAACGAUAAAACUUUAUUUACCCCGUGAUGGUUAAAGCAAAAAAUUUAUUUACACUGUGAUGGUUAACGUUAAAACUUUAUUUACACUCUGAUGGUUAACGUUAAACUGUGAGGAGGGUCAGCUCUAUGGCAGCACAUUACUAACAGUGAUGGGUGUGCUGAGUAACUAAUAUUUACACCAAAAGGCUGAAUAAUCCUCGUAGACUUGGGUCUAGAUCCUGAUGAGUCCAUCAGGACAUGAUGUCGCUGCUCAAGUCUCUCAUAUUUUCAUUUUCUCAUCAUCACACGUAGUCUUUCUUUCCUUCGUCUUCCUGUUUGUUUCUUUUGAGUUCCACCUUCAGUGUUUCUCUUUCAUUCCUCUUCAUCCUUCCAUUUCAUCUCUCCUCCUCUUCCUCUUCCUCACCCCCCUCCUCUCAGUCAGUCUCCGAAGGUGGAGAGGGUGGAGGAACCCGACGUCUUCUCUCCACCAAUCAGGUUCAGUCACACAGUUGCACAGCAUGGUUGCACAGUGAGUCCUGCCUGUAGACGGUUCAGGUUAAAGUGAACACACGCAGUCAGACUGGAUGAAGUCUGUUCUUUAACGUUUGACUCCUUGAUUCCUUCCUAACUCCUCUCCUCUGUCUCCUCCCUCCUGCCUGAAGCUUGAGAAGUAUUUUUAUCUUGACGCUCGUCUCCGUGUUGUCGCUCCUGCACACACUUUAUACUUCUACUACAUCUCAGAGGUGAAUGUUGUACUAUUUAUCUUAAGUAGCUUCAGUUACUUUUUACAGAUUCAAAUUAAUAGAACAUAUAAAUAAAAGAUGAUGUGUUAUUAUUAUAGAUUAAUACUACCAGCAGUGUAUAAAGUCUUUAAAAUGAGCUGCAACAUUAAAGAACACAUGAAUGCAUCAAUAACAUAUUACACAUCAUAUUCUGCAUAAUGAGUACUUUUACUUCUGGUACUUCAGAUACUAACUGUACUAACAUUUUGAAUGCAGGCUUUUUAUUUGUAUCUUGAGUAUUUCUGCUCUGUGGUAUAAAAACCUCUGAGUACGUCUUCCUCCACUGUGUGAACCUCGACACAAUCCUGAGGGCCUUCAUCGGUCUUUAUCCACAGCGAGGGUCAGAGGAUCCUCAAGGCCCUCAAAGCAAAGUCUGACUAACUGCUGUGAGGUGGAGGAUGCUAAUAAUAGCAUUAGUAAUAGCAUUAGCAUUAGCACUAGUAACAGCAUUAGUUAUAGCACUAGUAAUAGCACUAAUUAUAGCAUUAGUUAUAGCAUUAGUAACAGCAUGGAGACUCAGCAGACUGUGGACUCACUGCUGAGUUCAUGAACCGUGUUCUGUGUCCCAUCACUGUUUAACCCAUCAUGAUAUAAACCACAGUGUCUCUCUCUUCCCGUCUGUCUGUCUGUAGCUCGGGGGGUCAGACGCCUCGGAGAGAUCUGGAGAAGCAGCUGACUGGAGAGGAAAAAGCCCUGAGACCCGGUGACCCUGGUUUCUGUGCCCGUGCUCGUGUACCGAUGCCGUCCAACAAAGACUACGUAGUUCGACCCAAAUGGAACGUAGAGAUGGAGUCCAGCAGGCACGGUCCGAUGAAGAAGGGAAUGACCCGCGUCGACAAACAGUUGCGUAGAUUCGCAGACAUCCGCCGCCUGACGAAGCCGGGUCACGCUGUUAAAAUCAGCGUGGAAGGAAACCGGAUGCCUCUCUGAUUUUAACCCUUCAUAGGAUUUAUUCACCUUUUCUUUUUCUUUUCUUUUUUUUGAAUGUGUUGUUUCCUGAACAAACCAACUGUCUCCCCCCCCUCCUCAGGUCCAGCUCUGCCUUAAGAAAGGCCCGAGGUCAAAUCACUCCAACUUAAAGGGACAGUGUGUAGGAUUUAGU